UGGGGGUGGAGCCAGAUGUCCUGUACUGUCAGAGGUUCCUGCAGGAGGAGGGCGUGUUGGUCGGAGCAGGUCUUCAUCAUGGAGGAGACACUCAUCAUCUGAGGUUGUGUGUCCUCGUCCCCCCCGACUCUCUGGAGGAGGCCCUGACUCGCCUCAGCUCCUUCCACCUCCGCCUCGUGGACAGAUUCUCUCAGUGUAACGGUGUGAAAGACAAAGACGAGCACGGAAGAUCUGUCCGUCUCGUAGAAACCACGUUUGAAGGCUCCACCGUCUCUGCACAGGGACACAACAGAAAUGAAUAAUGUUCCAGUGAUUCGUCAAUAAAGUUUGUCCUAGA